rnacentral:rRNA from 1 species
UUAUUUGGUUUAUAUGUUAGAAAAUUUUAAACAUAGUAAUAAUAAUAAUAUUAGUAUAGAUUUAAUUAUUUGAAAUAAAAUAAAAUUAUAAAUUUUAUUUUUAAGAAUUCGACAAUAUUAAAAAUUUACCUGUUUAACAAAAACAUGUCUUUUUGUAAUUUAUUUAAAGUCUAACCUGCUCUCUGAGUGAUUUUAAAGGCCGCAAUUAAUUGUGCAAAGGUAGCAUAAUAAAUAGUUUUUUAAUUGAAAACUUGAAUGAAUGGUUGGAUAAAAUUUUUUUUUUUUUGAGAUAAAAAAUAAAACUUAGUAUUUAAGUGAAAAAACUUAAAUAAAAUAAAAAGACGAAAAGACCCUAUAGAUUUUUAUUUAAUAUUGAAAAUUGUAUUUUUAUAUUAAAUUUUAUUGGGGUGAUAAAAAAAUUUAAGAAACUUUUUUUUAUAUAUUCAUUUAUUUAUGAUUUAUUAAUUUGAACGUUAAUUUAAAAAUUAAGAUUAAAAUACCUUAGGGAUAACAGCGUAAUUUUAAUUUUAAGGCCAAAUUAAAAUUAAAGAUUGCGACCUCGAUGUUGGAUUAAAAUAAGAUUUAAAUGAAGAAAUUUAGGUUUUAGGUCUGUUCGACCAUAAAAUUUUACAUGAUCUGAGUUCAAACCGGCGUGAGCCAGGUUGGUUUCUAUCUUUUAUAGAAUGAAGUAAUUUAGUACGAAAGGAUUUAUUA